rnacentral:rRNA from 1 species
AGUGAACGCUGGCGGUAGGCCUAACACAUGCAAGUCGAACGGCAGCACAGUAAGAGCUUGCUCUUACGGGUGGCGAGUGGCGGACGGGUGAGGAAUACAUCGGAAUCUACUUUUUCGUGGGGGAUAACGUAGGGAAACUUACGCUAAUACCGCAUACGACCUACGGGUGAAAGCAGGGGAUCUUCGGACCUUGCGCGAUUGAAUGAGCCGAUGUCGGAUUAGCUAGUUGGCGGGGUAAAGGCCCACCAAGGCGACGAUCCGUAGCUGGUCUGAGAGGAUGAUCAGCCACACUGGAACUGAGACACGGUCCAGACUCCUACGGGAGGCAGCAGUGGGGAAUAAUGGACAAUGGGCGCAAGCCUGAUCCAGCCAUACCGCGUGGGUGAAGAAGGCCUUCGGGUUGUAAAGCCCUUUUGUUGGGAAAGAAAAGCAGCAGGUUAAUACCCCGCUGUUCUGACGGUACCCAAAGAAUAAGCACCGGCUAACUUCGUG